AUUGAACGCUGGCGGAAUGCUUUACACAUGCAAGUCGAACGGUAGAGGGGCAACCCUUGAGAGUGGCGAACGGGUGAGUAAUGUAUCGGAACAUGCCCAGUCGUGGGGGAUAACGUAGCGAAAGUUACGCUAAUACCGCAUACGAUCUAUGGAUGAAAGCGGGGGAUCGCAAGACCUCGCGCGAUUGGAGUGGCCGCUAUCAGAUUAGGUAGUUGGUGGGGUAAAGGCCUACCAAGACGACGAGCUGUAGCUGGUCUGAGAGGACGACCAGACACAAUGGGUCUGGGACACGGCCCAGACUCCUACGGGAGGCAGCAGUGGGGAAUUUUGGACAAUGGGCGAAAGCCUGAGCCAGCCACUCCGCGUGCAGGAAGAAGGCCUUCGGGUUGUAAACUGCUUUUGUACGGAACGAUACGCGCUGUGCUAAUACCACGGCGUAAUGACGGUACCGUAAGAAUAAGCACCGGCUAACUACGUGCCAGCCGCCGCCGUAA
rnacentral:rRNA from 1 species